ACCUACGGGGCGCAGCAGUGAGGAAUAUUGGUCAAUGGUCGGGAGACUGAACCAGCCAAGCCGCGUGAGGGAGGAAGGUACAGAGUAUCGUAAACCUCUUUUGUCGGGGAACAAAGGCGGGGACGUGUCCCCGGAUGAGUGUACCUGAAGAAAAAGCAUCGGCUAACUCCGUGCCAGCAGCCGCGGUAAUACGGAGGAUGCGAGCGUUAUCCGGAUUUAUUGGGUUUAAAGGGUGCGCAGGCGGUCUGUUAAGUCAGCGGUCAAAGCCCGGGGCUCAACCCCGGCCCGCCGUUGAAACUGGCAGG
rnacentral:rRNA from 1 species